rnacentral:rRNA from 1 species
CGCCCUUGCCCUUGGCCGUACGGCCCGAGGGCGCUUUGGCGGUGUAGGCGGCGGUUUCGUGUUGCGAAUCUUCGCGAUCAAAAGGGUUCACGUAUUCUCCUCUAGAGGCUUCGCUAUGAGACGCAAGACGCGACCGUCAGGCGUUUCGAGCAUGGCUCAACAUCACCUGAGUGACUCAACGCGGUUGUUUGGCUGUGCUCUGGGAGCAAAAAAGAUGAGCCCGCUCGAAGCGGGCCGAUAGAAAUGUGCGAAAUUCGCGCGGCUCGCAUUAUAUACGAGCUUGGGGCUUCGCGCUCAUCCUGUGCACAUCAUUUCAUCAUGCGCGUUUGUCGCAGGUUCGUCCUUGGGCCGCUGGUCGGGCGUAGAGCGGUCGCCGGUUCGAUGCAUCUAGGUGCGUGCACAUUCGCUGAUUUCAAGCUUCUCACUAUAGAGAGUUCGGUCGUCCUGACACGACGGGGUCGCGUUUGCACCACUCUCCCUAUAUAUAGGGGACGCCUGUUUCUGGCGUCGAUUGGCGUCUGGUCAAAAGAAAAUUCACAAAGGGGGUUGACGACGUGUCAGUCGUUCUCAUAAUCUCGUUUCUCUGCUGCUGAUGCAGCGACGCAGAACGAAGCGGUGCCGGGUGGUUGUGAGGUUGACGACGCGCGGCGCUGGUCCGGUGGUGAAUGCGUAACCGAUCUUUAAAAAUUAACAGCCGAUAAGUGUGGGCGCUUGAUGCGCGACGCGAGGUGGAUCUUUCGGGAUCUGCUGAACAAGCGAAAGUAUCAAGUCUCACACAGUAUUAGAGGAAGGUUUGAGCAAUCAAAUCAUCGUCAGUACGUUGAGUGAGCGACCGGUUCUUAAAUGAACCGAAAACAGUAACAGGUUUGAACUGAAGAGUUUGAUCCUGGCUCAGAUUGAACGCUGGCGGCAUGCCUUACACAUGCAAGUCGAACGGCAGCACGGGAGCAAUCCUGGUGGCGAGUGGCGAACGGGUGAGUAAUACAUCGGAACGUGUCCUGUAGUGGGGGAUAGCCCGGCGAAAGCCGGAUUAAUACCGCAUACGAUCUGUGGAUGAAAGCGGGGGAUCUUCGGACCUCGCGCUACAGGGGCGGCCGAUGGCAGAUUAGCUAGUUGGUGGGGUAAAGGCCUACCAAGGCGACGAUCUGUAGCUGGUCUGAGAGGACGACCAGCCACACUGGGACUGAGACACGGCCCAGACUCCUACGGGAGGCAGCAGUGGGGAAUUUUGGACAAUGGGCGAAAGCCUGAUCCAGCAAUGCCGCGUGUGUGAAGAAGGCCUUCGGGUUGUAAAGCACUUUUGUCCGGAAAGAAAACCUCGUGGUUAAUACCCGUGGGGGAUGACGGUACCGGAAGAAUAAGCACCGGCUAACUACGUGCCAGCAGCCGCGGUAAUACGUAGGGUGCAAGCGUUAAUCGGAAUUACUGGGCGUAAAGCGUGCGCAGGCGGUUCGCUAAGACAGAUGUGAAAUCCCCGGGCUUAACCUGGGAACUGCAUUUGUGACUGGCGGGCUAGAGUAUGGCAGAGGGGGGUAGAAUUCCACGUGUAGCAGUGAAAUGCGUAGAGAUGUGAGGAAUACCGAUGGCGAAGGCAGCCCCCUGGGCCAAUACUGACGCUCAUGCACGAAAGCGUGGGGAGCAAACAGGAUUAGAUACCCUGGUAGUCCACGCCCUAAAACGUUUUGUUGGGAUUCAUUCCUUAGUAACGUAGCUAACGCGUGAAGUUGACCGCCUGGGGAGUACGGUCGCAAGAUUAAAACUCAAAGGAAUUGACGGGGACCCGCACAAGCGGUGGAUGAUGUGGAUUAAUUCGAUGCAACGCGAAAAACCUUACCUACCCUUGACAUGUAUGGAACCUGGCUGAGAGGCCGGGGUGCCCGAAAGGGAGCCAUAACACAGGUGCUGCAUGGCUGUCGUCAGCUCGUGUCGUGAGAUGUUGGGUUAAGUCCCGCAACGAGCGCAACCCUUGUCCCUAGUUGCUACGCAAGAGCACUCUAGGGAGACUGCCGGUGACAAACCGGAGGAAGGUGGGGAUGACGUCAAGUCCUCAUGGCCCUUAUGGGUAGGGCUUCACACGUCAUACAAUGGUCGGAACAGAGGGUCGCCAACCCGCGAGGGGAGCCAAUCCCAGAAAACCGAUCGUAGUCCGGAUCGCACUCUGCAACUCGAGUGCGUGAAGCUGGAAUCGCUAGUAAUCGGGAUCAGCAUGCCGCGGUGAAUACGUUCCCGGUCUUGUACACACCGCCCGUCACACCAUGGGAGUGGGUUUUACCAGAAGUGGCUAGUCUAACCGCAAGGAGGACGGUCACCACGGUAGGAUUCAUGACUGGGGUGAAGUCGUAACAAGGUAGCCGUAUCGGAAGGUGCGGCUGGAUCACCUCCUUUCU